UACGUAGGGUCCGAGCGUUGUCCGGAUUUAUUGGGCGUAAAGAGCUCGUAGGCGGUUUGUCGCGUCUGCUGUGAAAACCUAAGGCUCAACCUUGGGCUUGCAGUGGGUACGGGCAGACUAGAGUGCGGUAGGGGUGACUGGAAUUCCUGGUGUAGCGGUGGAAUGCGCAGAUAUCAGGAGGAACACCGAUGGCGAAGGCAGGUCACUGGGCCGCAACUGACGCUGAGGAGCGAAAGCAUGGGGAGCGAACAGG
rnacentral:rRNA from 1 species